rnacentral:rRNA from 1 species
AACGAACGCUGGCGGCGCGCCUAAUACAUGCAAGUCGAGCGAGAAGACGUAGCAAUACGUUUGUAAAGCGGCGAACGGGUGAGGAAUACAUGGGUAACCUACCCUCGAGUGGGGAAUAACUAGCCGAAAGGUUAGCUAAUACCGCGUACGCUCCUUGGACUUCGGUUCAGGGAGGGAAAGACGAUACCGUGGGUAGUCGCGCUCUUGGAUGGGCUCAUGUCCUAUCAGCUUGUUGGUGAGGAGCGGCUCACCAAGGCUUCGACGGGUAGCUGGUCUGAGAGGACGAUCAGCCACACUGGCACUGCGACACGGGCCAGACUCCUACGGGAGGCAGCAGUAAGGAAUAUUGCGCAAUGGGCGAAAGCCUGACGCAGCGACGCCGCGUGGGGGGA